rnacentral:rRNA from 1 species
UACAGAGGGUGCGAGCGUUGUCCGGAAUCACUGGGCGUAAAGGGCGCGUAGGCGGCCUGAUAAGUCGGGGGUGAAAUCCUGUGGCUCAACUGCAGGGCUGCCUCCUAGACUGUCGGGCUUGAGCACGGUAGAGGCAGAUGGAAUUCCCGGUGUAGCGGUGGAAUGCGUAGAGAUCAGGAAGAACAUCGGUGGCGAAGGCGCUCUGCUGGACCAUAACUGACACUCAGGGACGAAAGCUAGGGGAGCGAAUGGG